rnacentral:rRNA from 1 species
UACGUAGGGUGCAAGCGUUGUCCGGAAUUAUUGGGCGUAAAGAGCUCGUAGGCGGUUUGUCGCGUCGAAUGUGAAAACCCGGGGCUCAACCCCGGGCCUGCAUUCGAUACGGGCAGACUAGAGUUCGGUAGGGGAGUCUGGAAUUCCUGGUGUAGCGGUGAAAUGCGCAGAUAUCAGGAGGAACACCGGUGGCGAAGGCGGCUCACUGGCCCGGUACUGACGCUGAGGUGCGAAAGCGUGGGGAGCAAACAGG